rnacentral:rRNA from 1 species
ACGCGAAGAACCUUACCCACCUUUGACAUGUACGGAAGAUCGCAGAGACGCGAUUGUGCUCGAAAGAGAACCGUAACACAGGUGCUGCAUGGCUGUCGUCAGCUCGUGUCGUGAGAUGUUGGGUUAAGUCCCGCAACGAGCGCAACCCUUGCCAUUAGUUGCUACAUUCAGUUGGGCACUCUAAUGGGACUGCCGGUGACAAACCGGAGGAAGGUGGGGAUGACGUCAAGUCCUCAUGGCCCUUAUAGGUGGGGCUACACACGUCAUACAAUGGCUGGUACAAAGGGUUGCCAACCCGCGAGGGGGAGCUAAUCCCAUAAAGCCAGUCGUAGUCCGGAUCGUAGUCUGCAACUCGACUACGUGAAGUCGGAAUCGCUAGUAAUCGUGGAUCAGAAUGUCACGGUGAAUACGUUCCCGGGCCUUGUACACACCG